GCAACAAAAUUGCUGAAACUUGCAACAAAAUCUGAUUUCAACGCAUGUUAAGUAGAAAUGUCGACACAUGUUGCCUCGUGAUUUCUAAUUUAUGUGUAUAAACAUUUCAAUUAACAUGGGUAUAAAUCAGAUUUUGUUGCAAGUUGCAGCAAUUUUGUUG